GGACAAGUGUGGCUUGUUGAUUCCCUUUUGGGGGAAUAGGAAAGUCUGGACACCACAGAGCAGCAUAGUGGGUAACACCCACCACUCGUGAGAGGAGGACCAGUGCAACAGAAAGCAAGUACAGUUCGGCUGUAGUGAAAUCAGGUAAACUCUAUGCGGUGCAACGCCAAGUAUAUCAGCAACUAAGGGUAGCUCGUCCAAUGCUGAGGGGUAGGCGGCUCAAGUUUUGUAGCAAUGCAAAAUUUAGAUAAAUAACAAGCUCUCUUUUUUAGAGAACAGAAUCCAGCUUAUAGCACUUGUCCUUUU
rnacentral:RNase_P_RNA from 1 species